ensembl:lncRNA
AAACAGUAUUUAUACUUAGAUUAAACUGCAACUGAUGACAAUAUAUACAUUUAAUGAUUUACAGGAAUCUUGCAUGUGAAGAUGGCCAGCCAGCUGAAGCACAUUGAAAUUGUAGUCCAACAGCUUAAUCGUUUCAAUCCUGAAAAUGAAAGUGUUGGGCAUUUCUUGGAUGAAACAGCUGCUAAAGCAUUCCAGACACAGACAGAAAACAGUAGAAGAAAAAGUAAACGAAAAAUGUAAAAGAAAAAAGAAAAAUCAUACCCCUUCAACAGCUUAUUCCAACUUUCCAUCAAACUUCCCCACAUCUCCCGCACAAUGCAUUCUUAAUAAUAAAUUUAUCAGCAAAUUGUAACCUUGUUUCAUGUGUUUCUAUUGGUACUUUCAGUUGCAAUUUAAGUUUAAAUCCCUUAUUGUCCAUUUACCCUGAAAACAAGACAUAUUAUCAUUCUUAACAUUUAAACUUUGAUUCUUUCAGUAAUAUUAUCCAAUUUCAUAAAUAUUACACUCUCGUUACUGGGGCUAGCAUUUCAGAUUGUGCGUCAUUUUAUAGUUCAUAUAACUUGUAAAAUUUUUGUAAAUAGUUCUUAAAUUUUUUCCAGUCCUCCUCCAUUGCUUCUUCUCCCAUGUCUCGGAUUCUGGCAGUCAUUUCGGCCAACUCCAUAUAGUCAAUCAGUUGCGUUUGCCACUCUUCCAGCGUGGGUAAAUCUUGAGUCUUCCAAUGUUUGGCAAUCAAAAUUCUUGCUGCUGUGGUAGCAUACAUAAAAAACAUUCUGUCCUUCUUUAACACCUUUUGGCCGACAAUACCCAAGAGGAAGGCCUCCGGUUUUUUAGGGAAGGUGUACUUAAACACCUUUUUUAACUCGUUGUAGAUCAUUUCCCAGAAGGCCUUCACUCUUGGGCAAGUCCACCAAAGGUGAAAGAAUGUUCCUUCAGCCUCCUUACACUUCCAACAUUUGUUAUCAGACAAAUGGUAUAUCUUAGCAAGCUUGACUGGGGUCAUGUACCACCUGUAUAUCAUUUUCAUAAUGUUUUCUUUCAAGGCAUUACAUGCCGUAAAUUUCAUACCGGUGGUCCAUAACCUUUCCCAGUCUUCAAACAUGAUAUUGUAACCAAUGUCUUGAGCCCACUUUAUCAUGGCUGAUUUAACUGUCUCAUCCUGUGUAUUCCAUUUAAGCAGCAAGUUGUACAUUCUCGAUAAUACCUUGGUCUUUGGUUCUAACAACUCUGUCUCAAGUUUCGAUUUUUCCACCUGGAAUCCUAUUUUUUUGUCCAAUUUAACAACCUCGUUAAUUUGGGCAUAGUGAAACCAAUCUCGCACCUUAUCCUUUAAAUUUUCAAAGCUCCGCAACCUCCAAUUGUCACCAAUUUUUUCUAUUAAUUCCCAAUAUUUCGGCCAACCGGCCUCCAUAUUGGGUUUUUUCCACGCCUUAGCCUCCACUGGUGAUAACCACCUCGGUGUCUUACUUUCAAGUAAGUCUUUGUAUUUCAUCCAGACCAUAAAAAUUGCUUUCCUGACAAUAUGGUUUUUGAACAUUCCAUGUGUUUUUACCUUGCCGUACCACAGAUACGCGUGCCAUCCUAACGAAUUGUUGAAACCUUCCAGGUCUAGGACAUCUGUAUUCUCUAAUAAAAUCCAAUCUUUCAACCAGCAGAAGGCUGCCGCCUCGUAGUAUAACCUUAAGUCUGGCAGGGCAAACCCCCCUCUUUCUUUUGCAUCAGUUAGUAUUUUGAACUUUAUUCGGGGCUUUUUGCCCUGCCAGACAAACUUUGAAAUAUCCCUCUGCCACUUUCCAAAACAUUCCACUCUGUCCACGACCUGCAAGGUUUGAAAUAAAAACAACAUUUUUGGCAAAACAUUCAUCUUAACAGCAGCAAUUCGGCCCAGCAAGGAGAGCUUCAGUCUCGACCAUGUUUCCAAAUCUUUCUUAACUUCUAACCAACAUUUCUCAUAGUUAUCCUUAAACAAGUUCAAAUUUUUAGACGUCAAGUUUACCCCCAGGUAUUUCACCUUCUUAACCACAACUAACUCUGUUUCCUUCUGAAACCCCUCUAUUUCUAAGGGCGUCAAGUUUUUCCCCCAAAGUUUUUUGCUUGUUCAACUUAAAUCCUGCCACCCGACCAAAUUCUUGUAUCAGUUCCAAAACUCUUUUUGUGCUAGAUUCUGGCUCCUGUAAUGUUAUUACUAAGUCAUCUGCAAAUGCUUUCAGUUUGUAUUGUUUCUCUCCGACCGUGAUCCCCUGUAUUUGCCGGUCCCUCCUGAUCAUGUUCAGCAAAACCUCCAGGACUGAUAUAAAUAGUAGGGGGGAUAGGGGGCACCCCUGGCGUGUUCCUUUUUCAAUAUGGAACUCCUCUGUCACCACAUUGUUCACUAUCAACUUAGCUUUUUGUUCUGAAUAAAUUGCUUCUAUACCAUUUUCAAACCCUCGUCCCACUCCCAUCCCUUCCAAAUUUUUUUUCAUAAAUUUUUCAUAAAUUUCCAAGAAAUAUUGUCAAAGGCCUUCUCAGCAUCGAUAAAGAUUAACACUGCUUUAGUGUUAAUAUUUGUUUGUAAAAGUUCCAGAAUAUCGAUUAUAUUCCGAGUAUUGUCAAACAAAUGCCUGCCAGGAAGAAAGCCUGCUUGGUCCUUAUAUCUCUGCAUUCUUCUUUUAAAUAACCAAUCAAGUCUUUAAAUGUCAGACCUUGUCUAUGCUCCAUCAAACUUACAAAUGCACCAAAGCGUGGUCCAAGUGAUGAUAACAAAAAUGCUAUCUUUGUAUCCUCAUCAAAAGCUUUGGGAGUCAGAUCAAUUCUUUGAAUAAUCUCAGUAAACUUGUUGAUGUGCUCUGUGAAUUCCUCUUUUGAAUUCAUCCUCAAUCUGGUUAAUUUACACACCAAGUUUCUGAAGCUGUUUAUGCUAGAUUCUCCAUACACGCGCUCAAUAUCUCUUAAGAUUUGAGAUGCAUCAUCUGUGCUAUUUAUUAAUGAUAGCUGCUCAUCACGAAGUCCACUCAAAAUUAUGUGUCUAGCUUCGCUGUUCAUGCGUUUCCAAGCACUUAUCUUGGCUAAAUCUCCCUCAGACGAUCCUGUAGGCUGAGGCUCUAAAGCUUCCAAAAUGUGCUUAUAAUCCAAACAUGCUAUCAAGCGCUGCUUCCAGUGCAUGAAAUUGUACUCAUUCAGCACAGGCAUUCCUAGCUUUGCAUCACUAUCAAAAGCUGCUCUAGCCAUCUUAAAAUCCAAAAUUUGAAAAUUCUUCAAAAUUUCAAAAUUUCUCAAAAUUUUAAAAUCAAAAUCUCAAAAAUCUCAAAAUACGAAACAAUUCUUCACUGCCUUGGGUCACUGUGAACUCUGAGGGAAGGGGGUGGGUUGCUUAAUCCCCACUGCACAAUGGAACAAAGGACCAUGUGCUUACCAGGAAGUUAACUCAGAAAAAUACUACUCAACUCAAAAUCACAAUCCAAUGCAAUCCUUCAAAAAUACGCAGAAAUAUGCAAUACUGGGCCCAUAACCCUUUGUGGGAAUGUUCUGGGGUGCAGGAGAGGAUAUAUUGACUAAUUAUAUCCUGAUCCAACUUGUGCUAACAAGUUCCCAAAAUAUCAGCAGAGUUUACAUACAUUCCCCUUUAAGUACGCAACGGUAACGUGUGCACAGGUUCGCUAGAACCUCUAUAAUAAUUACCCUGGUAAUUUCCCCUUUAGUUCCCUCUUAAAAUACAAGACACGACACAGUCUUCAUAAAAGUAUAAAAGAGUUUACUCACGUCCUGUUCACAAUGUGAUCCCAGACGGCAGACAGGCUUAAAAAGGUUACAUAGAUUUAGAAUCUAUCUCAUAGCAAGAUAGGCCUUAUCUCCUCUCUUGGCUGGGAGCCAAGAGGGCAUCCUUAGG